rnacentral:rRNA from 1 species
AUGAACGCUAGCGGCAGGCUUAACACAUGCAAGUCGAGGGGCAGCAUGACCAGCGAUGGUUGAUGGCGACCGGCGGACGGGUGCGCAACGCGUGAGCAACCUACCCAUAACAGAGGGAUAACUCGGAGAAAUUCGGACUAAUACCUCAUAGUAUUAAUUAGAGGCAUCUUUGGUUAAUUAAAGCUUUGGUGGUUAUGGAUGGGCUCGCGUAACAUUAGUUAGUUGGUAAGGUAACGGCUUACCAAGGCUAUGAUGUUUAGGGGUUCUGAGAGGAAGGCCCCCCACACUGGGACUGAGACACGGCCCAGACUCCUACGGGAGGCAGCAGUGAGGAAUAUUGGUCAAUGGAGGCAACUCUGAACCAGCAACGCCGCGUGAAUGAUGAAGGUUUUAGGAUUGUAAAGUUCUUUUAUUGGGGAAGAAAAAAAUGACGGUACCCAAUGAAUAAGCCCCGGCAAACUACGUGCCAGCAGCCGCGGUAAUACGUAGGGGGCAAGCGUUGUCCGGAAUAACUGGGCGUAAAGGGUGUGUAGGCGGCGAUUCGCGUCAUAUGUGAAAGCCAUGGGCUUAACCCAUGAACUGCAUAUGAUACGGGAUUGCUUGAGUGCGGGAGAGGUCGGCGGAAUUCCAUAUGUAGCGGUAGAAUGCGUAGAUAUAUGGAGGAACAUCAGAGGCGAAGGCGGCCGGCUGGAACGUAACUGACGCUGAAACACGAAAGCGUGGGGAGCAAACAGGAUUAGAUACCCUGGUAGUCCACGCCCUAAACGAUGAUUACUGGAUGUUGGCGGUAUGACUCCGCCAGUAUCGUAGCAAACGCGUUAAGUAAUCCGCCUGAGUAGUACGGCCGCAAGGUUGAAACUCAAAGAAAUUGACGGGGACCCGCACAAGCAGCGGAGCAUGUGGUUUAAUUCGACGCUACGCGAAAAACCUUACCAAGACUUGACAUCCCCGGCAUAAGCGCGAAAUCGCUGAAAUAAUAGCAAUAUUACCGGGUGACAGAUGGUGCAUGGUUGUCGUCAGCUCGUGUCGUGAGAUGUUCGGUUAAGUCCGAUAACGAGCGCAACCCCUGUUUUCAGUUGCCAGCAUUAAGUUGGGCACUCUGGAGGGACUGCCGUAGAUAAUACGGAGGAAGGUGGGGAUGACGUCAAAUCAUCAUGCCUCUUACGUCUUGGGCUACACACGUGCUACAAUGGUAACUACAAAGAGUCGCAAUAUGGUAACAUGGAGCCAAUCUCAAAAAAGUUAUCUCAAUUCGGAUUGUGGGCUGAAACCCGCCCACAUGAAGUCGGAGUUGCUAGUAAUCCCGGAUCAGCAUGCCGGGGUGAAUGCGUUCCCGGGUCUUGUACACACCGCCCGCCAAGCUAUGGGAGUUGGGAGUAUCCAAAGUCAGUG